CCUACGGGAGGCAGCAGUGGGGAAUAUUGCACAAUGGGGGAAACCCUGAUGCAGCAACGCCGCGUGAGUGAAGAAGUCUUUCGGUAUGUAAAGCUCUAUCAGCAGGGAGGAAGGAAGACGGUACCUUACUAACAACCCCCGGCUAACUACGUGCCAGCAGCAGCGGUAAUACGUAGGGGGCAAGCGUUAGCCGGAUUUACUGGGUGUAAAGGGAACGUAGACGGCUGUGCAAGUCUGAAGUGAAAGCCCGUGGCUCAACCGCGGAACUGCUUUGGAAACUGGAUAGCUUGAGUACUGGAGAGGCAGGCGGAAUUCCGAGUGUAUCGGUGAAAUGCGUAGAUAUUAGGAGGAACACCAGUGGCGAAGGCGGCCUGCUGGACAGAAACUGACGUUGAGGCUCGAAAGCGUGGGGAGCAAACAGGAUUAGAUACCCGAGUAGUC
rnacentral:rRNA from 1 species